rnacentral:lncRNA from 10 species
GUUGAAUAAGAGUGGUGAGAGAGAGCAUCCUGGUCUUGUGCCAGUUUUCAAGGGAAUGCCUGCAGCUUUUGCCCAUUCAGUAUGAUAUUGGCUGUGGAUCUGUCAUAAAUGGCUCUUAUUAUUUUGAGGGAACCUAGCCGGCAACACUUCAUCUCACCCAGAAGAGAUCCAGACUCCUUCCUUGAGUGGCCUGGGCCUGCUUCCUCCUCCCUCUCUUCUCUCCAUGAACUUCAUUACAGCAACUCGGGUUUUUCUGCUGUUCCUCAAAUAUUCCAAGUUUGAUCCUGCCUCAAGGUUUUGCACUUCCCUCUGCCUGGAACAGAAUCCUUGCCCAGAACUCUGCAGGACUUGCCUCCUUAUCUCCAUUCCAACACAACCCCUGAAGAAAGGCCUUCUCUUAUGAUUCUUUCGUUUUUUUUCAUAUCACAUGUUGCUUUUAAUGGCAUUAAAUUCACUGGGAAAAUAGUGAGUUGGGAAGCAACUCACUUUUACAGAUUAUGCUUCAGUUUCAACCGCAAGUUGGCUAUGGAUACAAGAGUUCUGCAAAACUAAAGUAUUCUCUGAGAAUCAAUUGGCUCUAUGGAAUUAACGAAAAAGAAUAUUGCUCAUUUUAUUACUAAUUAUAGAUGAGGUCCUGCAAUGCUUCAUAUCAGUAAAAUUGAUGAUGAGUACAUGUAUACGUAUACGUAUACGUAUAUGUAUAUGUAUAUGUAUAUGUAUAUGUACUCCUCCCCAGCCAGCCGCUUAACAUGGACCAUCAGCCUGACCUUUAGGGUAAGUGGUUCCUGGCUUUCCUUUAUAAUUUAGUCACUUUUCAAUUUUCCUCUUACCUAGAUGUGACCCAGGCACCUCAGAGCCUGGAGAAGUCUCUGGCACAUAGUAGAUCUUUAAAAGAUGCUGCUGGAGUGGAUAAACUCCUGAGGAUUGCUAAUUUUACAGAGCAACCAGCAGUGACAAUACAAUUCUGAAUCUUUCAAUAAAAUGGCAGAAAAAGCCAGGGAACAUUAUGUUUUCUUGUUUUUUAAUCUCUGUAAACCUCCUUAAAUCUUUUUAGAGUCAACACAGUAUAAUUUUUUUUAAAACAACAACAACGAUAAUAAGAACUACCAUCGACUGUGUGCUUGGGAAAUGCCUAAUAAAUAGCAUUUUUCGUGUAGAAUCUCAUAAGUACAAUCUCUAAGAGUAGGUGAUACAAUAAAAAACGUAAAACACUUUUGAUAUGUACAAAAGUUUGUUUUAUCUUUUAGUAAUUCAAUUAUAAUUAAAACUAUUAUAUUUAAA